rnacentral:rRNA from 1 species
GAAUAUUGGUCACUGGGCGCAAGCCUGAACCAGCCACGUCGCGUGAAGGAAGACGGCUCUACGGGUUGUAAACUUCUUUUGUACGGGAAUAAAGUGUAGUACGUGUACUAUUUUGCAUGUACCUUACGAAUAAGGAUCGGCUAACUCCGUGCCAGCAGCCGCGGUAAUACGGAGGAUCCGAGCGUUACCCGGAUUUAUUGGGUUUAAAGGGUGCGCAGGCGGGAGAUUAAGUCGGCGGUGAAAUUUUGCAGCUCAACUGUAAAAGUGCCUUCGAAACUGGUUUCCUUGAGUGUGGAUGAAGUAGGCGGAAUUUGUGGUGUAGCGGUGAAAUGCAUAGAUAUCACGAGGAACGCCGAUUGCGCAGGCAGCUUACUAAGCCAUAACUGACGCUCAGGCACGAAGGCGUGGGGAUCAAAC